GCGCCUGUAGUUUAAUGGCUAGAAUCCGGGCCUUCCAAGCCUGUGAUCUGGGUUCGAAUCCCAGCAGGCGCACCA
rnacentral:tRNA from 1 species